rnacentral:lncRNA from 1 species
AUUAUAUUCCAUUAUUAUCUGUUGCACUCAAAACAGUAACCAGAUUACAAUGAUGACAAUGAGAAAAGAUGAGUAGGAUGAUGCCAUUGGUCCCAGUUCCAACAUGGGAAGGCAUCUGCUGAACUUAGAGGGUUUGAAUAUUGGGUGGGGGAGGGUCCAGCCUCUUCAACUUGAGACCUAAUGCUCCUUUCAUUUAGUCCAUCACCUUUGUUUCUUGUUGGUACAAUGUCUUCUUCCUGCAUGAUCACUGCAGAGGAAAAGAAAGAGUGAUUGUAGGCUUUCAAUUCUUAAUACUCUGCAAAAGGAUAGUGUAGGACAAAAUCUGGACUAAGCUCAAAAACAAAAGUAUACCUGAAUGGAAGGAAGCAGCUCUUGAAGGCA